GGCUGAUCUGAAGGUGGUGGUCAUCAGUUGAGAGUCACAGUUUCAGAUUCAGCUCCCUAUCCUGCUCUUUUCUCUUCUCACUACUGCACUUGACUAGUCUUUU
rnacentral:Y_RNA from 1 species